CAUUAUUUAUUCCCAUUUUAGGACACUGAGGUUCAUCUAUGGCUGCCUGCAGAAGUCCGUGCAGCAGAAAUGGCCAAACACCACAAUGAGGACAAGAGUUGUCAGUGGUUUUGUCUUUCUAAGACUGAUCUGUCCUGCUAUCCUCAACCCCAGAAUGUUUAACAUCAUCGCUGACCCUCCUUCUUCAACAGCAGGCAGGACCCUCACACUGGUGGCCAAGUCUGUUCAAAACCUAGCCAACCUGGUUGAAUUUGGUGCUAAGGUA